rnacentral:rRNA from 1 species
UACGGAGGGAGCUAGCGUUGUUCGGAAUUACUGGGCGUAAAGCGCGCGUAGGCGGCUUUGUAAGUUAGAGGUGAAAGCCCGGAGCUCAACUCCGGAACUGCCUUUAAAACUGCAUCGCUUGAAUCCAGGAGAGGUGAGUGGAAUUCCGAGUGUAGAGGUGAAAUUCGUAGAUAUUCGGAAGAACACCAGUGGCGAAGGCGACUUACUGGACACAUAUUGACGCUGAGGUGCGAAAGUGUGGGGAGCCAAACAGG